CAAAAACACACCGGGAGGUUUCUCAGCUCAGCGAAGACAGAGGCACUAAUAACAAGAUGGGCAUCACAUGCCUAUCAACCAUAAUGCUCCACAUGGACUCAGCCUGCCCUUGAAAAGGAAGGCACACAGAAGAACGAUGAGACUUAAGAGGAAAGACUUCAGCCAGUUGUUUCAAUGGCUUUUAAAUUUGGCAAGUACUGCUACACUUUCCCGAAGUGACAGUGGGCCCUCGCAGCAACCCUCCUACCUGUACCCUCAGAAGUGAUACUUACAUAGCCCAG
ensembl:lncRNA novel transcript, antisense to FTO